GGCUCGGUGGUGUAGUUGGUUAUCACGUCAGUCUAACAUGGUUAGCUCACUGAAGGUCCCGAGUUCAAACCUCGGCUGAGUCA